rnacentral:rRNA from 2 species
UGCAAGUCGAACGGAAAGGCCCUUCGGGGUACUCGAGUGGCGAACGGGUGAGUAACACGUGGGUGAUCUGCCCUGCACUUUGGGAUAAGCCUGGGAAACUGGGUCUAAUACCGAAUAGGACCGCAUGCUUCAUGGUGUGUGGUGGAAAGCUUUUGCGGUGUGGGAUGGGCCCGCGGCCUAUCAGCUUGUUGGUGAGGUAAUGGCUUACCAAGGCGACGACGGGUAGCCGGCCUGAGAGGGUGACCGGCCACACUGGGACUGAGAUACGGCCCAGACUCCUACGGGAGGCAGCAGUGGGGAAUAUUGCACAAUGGGCGCAAGCCUGAUGCAGCGACGCCGCGUGAGGGAUGACGGCCUUCGGGUUGUAAACCUCUUUCGCCAGGGACGAAGCGCAAGUGACGGUACCUGGAGAAGAAGGACCGGCCAACUACGUGCCAGCAGCCGCGGUAAUACGUAGGGUCCGAGCGUUGUCCGGAAUUACUGGGCGUAAAGAGCUCGUAGGUGGUUUGUCGCGUUGUUCGUGAAAACUCACAGCUUAACUGUGGGCGUGCGGGCGAUACGGGCAGACUUGAGUACUGCAGGGGAGACUGGAAUUCCUGGUGUAGCGGUGGAAUGCGCAGAUAUCAGGAGGAACACCGGUGGCGAAGGCGGGUCUCUGGGCAGUAACUGACGCUGAGGAGCGAAAGCGUGGGGAGCGAACAGGAUUAGAUACCCUGGUAGUCCACGCCGUAAACGGUGGGUACUAGGUGUGGGUUUCCUUCCUUGGGAUCCGUGCCGUAGCUAACGCAUUAAGUACCCCGCCUGGGGAGUACGGCCGCAAGGCUAAAACUCAAAGAAAUUGACGGGGGCCCGCACAAGCGGCGGAGCAUGUGGAUUAAUUCGAUGCAACGCGAAGAACCUUACCUGGGUUUGACAUGCACAGGACGCCGGCAGAGAUGUCGGUUCCCUUGUGGCCUGUGUGCAGGUGGUGCAUGGCUGUCGUCAGCUCGUGUCGUGAGAUGUUGGGUUAAGUCCCGCAACGAGCGCAACCCUUGUCUCAUGUUGCCAGCACGUUAUGGUGGGGACUCGUGAGAGACUGCCGGGGUCAACUCGGAGGAAGGUGGGGAUGACGUCAAGUCAUCAUGCCCCUUAUGUCCAGGGCUUCACACAUGCUACAAUGGCCGGUACAAAGGGCUGCGAUGCCGUGAGGUGGAGCGAAUCCUUUCAAAGCCGGUCUCAGUUCGGAUCGGGGUCUGCAACUCGACCCCGUGAAGUCGGAGUCGCUAGUAAUCGCAGAUCAGCAACGCUGCGGUGAAUACGUUCCCGGGCCUUGUACACACCGCCCGUCACGUCAUGAAAGUCGGUAACACCCGAAGCCGGUGGCCUAACCCCUUGUGGGAGGGAGC